AGACACAGCCUCCAAUAUCGUAUACUCCAUGCCUCCCAUCACGCCUCAUCCGCCUGAUUCAUCGCAGGUGUGGGAAACAUGGUUGCUGUCGGCGAACGGCGUUAACAGCCGCACCUCCGUUCCUCCGGGCGUGCCUCCGUUCCUCCGGCUGCGCCCCCGCUCCUCCGACCGCCCCCGGUACCUCUGGUUGACCUCGCCCCCAUUCCUCCGGCUCCGCUUCGUGUUCUCCGGCCUCGCCCCUGUUCAUCCAACCUUCGGUUCUAGCCCCUCGUGAAGGUCGACCGUUGUAUCUAAUGGUCGUUGAUCCGGUGACCUCCCCCACAACAACUCUACCCAAAGACUACGAUGGCUCUAGGGAAGAGGUCCACAUGGACCUCACGGAAACCCGAAGAACUUGUGCCAACUGAUUACGAGAAAAUAAGGGCUAUGAAUAUGAUGAAGAACAAUCAAUUGUUUCAACGGCUAGGCCUUGGACAAUUGAAAUCACUGGUGACUGCUACAGCUGCAAACAACAAAGAAGACUGUCCUCAGCAAUCAGAGAGUUUAUAUGAUGGUGAAAACACUGACAAUUCUAAUGAAGAGGAAUCCCAAUGUACUAACGGUGGUUGUGCCAACAUCUCCAAUGAUGGUGAUCAGAUCUCAACAAAAGUAACAAGAGGAAAUAAAAUAAUUGUGGCACCUACGGAGGAGCGAACAAUUAGAGUCACUAGGCAAAGAAUUGCUAAAGUAAACCAAGAAAAUAGCCACAACCUGUCUAUUCAUAAACAACUCAGUUCAUGUCCUGCUACAAACCAUGAUUCGAUAGAAACUCUUGUUGUUCCUACACAACCUAGUUCAAAUGCCACCAUAAACAAUAACACAACACAUAACGUAGAUAAUGCUAUAGAGCCUAAUUCUCUGAUAUAGGAGGAGAGUGAUAACCACAAUGCAGUUGAAGGUAACUAAACAUUUUAACUGUUUAGACAUUGAACUAUCCUUGAGCAAAUAACUUUUAUGUUUUCCAGCAUUAGUUUAGGUAACUAGUAUAACUUAAAUUUGAACAAAAUUACUCAUAUGUUUUUGUAUGAUUUAUGGCAACUAAUUCUUAGUUAUAUGCAGCAUCACACAUAUCAACAAGUUUUUGUGUCCUGACCAGGAACAAUAGAUAUCAUACCAAGGAGAAAAAGUAUGGGCUAACAACUUGAAUCGUUAAGCAGAGGACUAGGAAUGAAGAUUCCAAUCCAAAUUACUGAAGGGAGCAAGAGGCCAGAGCCACCCAUUCAAGCUGCUAAGUUUGCAUCAGAGGGGGGAAUCACAUUGAGGCAGCACAUUCCAAUAUUUCACCACUGGAAGGAGUACAAGAAGAAAGAGAAUGAACCUACAAUAAGAAACUAUAUUGGAAAAGAUAUUGUAAGGCUCAAUUCACCUUGGACAAUGAUAGCAAGGCAGUGGAAGAUGCAUGUCUAGAUAUGCUAAAGGGUGGACAAUGCCAAAUGAGGUAUAGACUAAAACAAAAGUAUUUCAAUGGGAUACCUGCUAAUCAAGUGAGGACUACAUCACCUAUUUCAAGCAUGUCUGAUGAGGACUGGAGAAAGUUGGUGGAGAAGUGGUCUACCCAAAACACAAGGAUAGUUGUAUGAAGAAUAAACUUAAUCGUGAAAAAGUACAGUAUCAACAAUGCAUAGGAUCCCAAUCAUAUAUUGCAAAAGCUUAUUUACUGGUCUCUAUUCUCACCGGAUUCAUUUUCUCACUUUAGAAAGAAGAGAAAUAUAAGGAUGCUGAACCGAGUGCAAUAGAUCUUUUCAAGGACAUGCAUUGCAGCAAGAAGAAAGGUUUUUCUGAAAAUGUAAAGAAAGCAAUUGUUGACAUGGAAGCAAGGGUGACAACACCAGUUGAGGAUGGACAACAACAAAAGUCUCCUAUAGAAGUUGUUUCUGAAGUGCUAUGGGGCUCCAGUUUAUUUCUACAGAAUGUUGGUCUGCAAGAUAACUCCAAGAAAAGCUCCACAACAACUGUUUUUGCUAAGGUUCAAGAACUUCAUAAUCAAUUGGAGUCUGAGAGGCUAGAAAAAGAUGGGCUUCAAGAAGAAGUAGAAACCUUAAAGGCUCAGGCACAGGCCUCAAAGGAGACCAUGGACAAUAUGAAGAGAUCGAUGGAAGAAAAUAACAGUCUCCUCCGUCAACUGUUGAGCUUCAAUCGAAGCCAAACGUCCCCAUCUUAAGUCUGCUAUAGUAUCAUGUUAUAUUAGUUCUGGAUUCAGGUUUUAUAAAUUUGGAAUAUGUUUAAAACUUUCAUACUUUGAGUUGAAGUUAUAGGAUUUCCUUUGUAUUUUAAGUUACAUGAUCUACAAUCAUAUGAUUUGAAGUUAUAAAAGUAUCUCUUGUAUGAAUUGUGUGAAUGUUGAACUAAAUAAUUCAAUGUUUUGGUUAUUA